rnacentral:lncRNA from 1 species
CUCUGCUCUCCUCGUAGCCGUGCUGAGAGAGCGACGGCUUGUCUUGCUCCCAGCAAACACAAAACCGCCCCAAACCACACAUUCAGCGCAGCGAAACGGGCGUGAGCUCUGACGGCGGCCUUCCCUCGCCGCAACGGGAGCUGCUGCGCCCCGCCCUCACGGCCGCGACAUGGCGGCGGCGGAUGAGGGCGGGCCGGGCUGCUCGGAGGCAGCGCCCCGGGACGGCCGGGCGCGGCGGUGGCUCUGCGAGCCUUGAGCAAAACAGCGGCCCGUACUCGAAUCGCACGUCGUGGGCCUUGGAAUUCACUGUGUGCAUCUGAAAUUCUGGAAAGUGACGAUGAGAAUCCCAGAGAGGAAUUUUUCAUUAAAGUGAGCAGUAUAUUAACAGAAAGACAGACACAUAAGUAUGAACUACUCCAGUUUUAACAGGGGCAAAAUACAAGGUGCAGAUAUACUGUUUUUUUUGUAUCAAAUUAUUCCAACUACUGAGAAAUUACUGUGGUGCUCUGUUUAACCAGUCUACAGAAUAGUGUCUUCACCAUCACAAAAGGUGAGGGAACAUUGCUAACAAAGUCUAGCCUAUAAAGUAUGCUAGCCUGCACAAGUAAGCAUGGGUAAUGAUGACAGUUUUUUUUUGGCGUAUGCUAAGGAAUUACAAACAAUUCAAUAGUCCAGAUGUUUGUUUUGCCAAUAGACAGAGUCAGCAGGAAGGACACAGACAGCAAGUUAAAGAAUCGAGUUCAUCUUUACUUACAUUUAAAGUAAUUAAAUCAUAAGUGAAAUGAUACACCA